rnacentral:rRNA from 1 species
UACAGAGGGUGCGAGCGUUGUCCGGAAUCACUGGGCGUAAAGGGCGCGUAGGUGGCGCUCCAAGUCCGUGGUGAAAGCUCGAUGCUUAACAUCGAGUCGGCCACGGAGACUGGAGGGCUCGAGCACUGUAGGGGCAGAUGGAAUUCCGGGUGUAGCGGUGGAAUGCGUAGAGAUCCGGAAGAACACCGGUGGCGAAGGCGGUCUGCUGGGCAGUUGCUGACACUGAGGCGCGACAGCGUGGGGAGCAAACA